rnacentral:misc_RNA from 1 species
GUAGGUGAACCUGCGGAAGGAUCAUUAAUGAAUUGUUAGAUUGUGCUGGCUUUGGCAUGUGCACAUCUAUAAUCCAAUACCCCUGUGCACCUUUGACUGCGAGUCCUUGAUGGACGAGCGGUAUUACACACUCUUUUGAAUGUAUGUGAUAAAGCAAUUAGGCACUUUGUGUCGAUUAAAAACAACUUUCAACAACGGAUCUCUUGGCUCUCGCAUCGAUGAAGAACGCAGCAUCUGACUGACUGAACUG